UACGGGGGGGGCAAGCGUUGUUCGGAAUUACUGGGCGUAAAGGGCUCGUAGGCGGCCAACUAAGUCGGAUGUGAAAUCCCCAGGCUUAACCUGGGAACUGCAUCCGAUACUGGAUGGCUUGAAUCCGGGAGAGGGAUGCAGAAUUCCAGGUGUAGCGGUGAAAUGCGUAGAUAUCUGGAGGAACACCGGUGGCGAAGGCGGCAUCCCGGACCGGCAUUGACGCUGAGGCGCGAAAGCCAGGGGAGCAAACGGG
rnacentral:rRNA from 1 species